AGCCCCCUCUGGAUUGAUCUAGGUGUCAGUAACGCACAGGUUUUCCAGCUCUAAGCAGAGAGGAGAGUACACAGAAGAAGGACAGAGUGACUGUGUGACUGGGUGUGUGUGUGUGAGUGAGAGAGUGUGUGGGAGGUCGUGCAGCAUGCAGCAGUAGAGAGGAUACACACACUCGCCAUGGCGUGUCCCCCGCCCCCUCCCCCUGUUUAAGAAGAGCUACGUCCUCCCUCUAACUCACCACUGGGGGCUUCAGAGUGGAGCCCCACACACCACAUCACACCACACCACACACACCGGCCCACUACAAUCCCAGGUGUGUGUGUGCGAGUUGGGUUCUCGCCCCCUUCCUGAGGGAAGAUGUCUGUGGUGAUGCCCCUGGAUGGGGUGAGGGAGGGGGAGAGUGUGCUGGUUACUGAGACCCCAGCCGGCACGCGCUGCAAAGGAAACACCAAUUUACCUGGCAAAGACAACUGCACUGACAACAACAACACAGAGCCUGACGACAACCUCUCACAAGACACACAGAAACGCUGUCAGAACCAUGGCCAUACCAGGAAAAGAGCCAAGUCCAAUGCCAAGCUGAAGCUGGUGCGGAGUCUAGCAGUAUGUGAAGAGUCAUCGGGUCCAUUCUCAACUGAUGGACCUCCAGAGACGCAGGACAUCAUUCAGCUACACAUCAGCUGUCCUUCAGACAAAGAAGAGGAGAAAUCCUCGAAAGAUGAGUACGAGAGUGAGGAGAGGGAGAAGAAGGACAAGACUCCUCGCAAGAUGCUCUCGCGGGACUCCAGUCAGGAGUACACAGACUCCACGGGCAUCGAUGUGCACGAGUUCUUGGUGAACACACUGAAAAACAACCCCAGGGACAGAAUGAUGCUACUGAAGCUGGAACAAGAUAUACUGGAGUUCAUCAAUGAUGACAAUAAUCAGUAUAAGAAGUUCCCUCAGAUGACCUCUUACCAUCGCAUGCUACUGCAUCGGGUGGCAGCAUAUUUUGGAAUGGACCACAACGUGGACCAAACUGGCAAAGCAGUCAUCAUCAACAAAACGAGCAACACGCGCAUCCCUGAACAGAGGUUUUCUGAGCACAUUAAGGACGAAAGGAACAUGGAUUUCCAAAAGAAAUUCAUUCUCAAGAGGGAUGAUGCAAGCAUGGACAAAGACGAUAACCAGGAGAGUUCGAGCAGAGCGUCCAGCAGCCGGCAGAGCAGCACAGACAGCGAUAUGAAGAGUCUGGAGCCACGGCCGUGGAGCAGCACAGACUCGGACAGUUCCAACCGCACACUGCGGCCACCCGUCACCAAGGCCAGCAGCUUCAGUGGCAUCUCUAUCCUCACACGCGGCGACAGCCUGGGCAGCAAGGGCUCGCAGGGUAGCGCCAGGGGGUCACGCACAGGUACAGACAUGCAUGCCAUUAAGACAUGCCCCCAGCCCCAGCCCCCCCAGCAGGGACGCAGCCUCUUGCCCUGUCCUUCCAACUGCCCCUCUAAUGCCCCUCCACCCCAGAACCAGGCGCCCCCACCACCCCCACAAACUGGAGAUGAGUUGACCCCAGGCUUCGGGCAGAUGUCUCUGAGCCGCCAGGGCUCCAGCGAGGCUCCAGAGCCACCCACCCUCUACCAGCCUCCUCCUGCCGUCCUGUCCCAGCACCCCCCACCACAGCCAAGUUACAUCAUGCCCCCACCGCCCUCUGGGUACCAACCGCCCACACCUCACCCACACCCUCCUCCACCCCCUCCGCCUCCUACCCAGCCUGUACUGCAGACAGCACCGCCUGCUCAGGGCUACAUGCAGCCCCCGCCACCACCUCAGCAGAUCCAGGUGCAGUAUUACUCAGCUGGUGGGCAGUAUCCGAGUUCAGGACAGCAGUACAGGUCCAUAUCCCACCAAGUGUCAUACCCUGCUCAACGCUCUCAGACCCUCCCCCCACCAACGCAGCCCUCCGCUCCUCUCCAGCCUAUGAUGGCGAGUCAGCAGCCAACGUAUCAGAGCAUGAUGGGAGUUCAGCAGCCGCAGAGUGCCAGUAUAAUGAGCUCACAGCGCACAGGCAUGAGCGGACAGAUGCAAGGCAUGAUGGUCCAGUACACACCCAUGCCCUCCUAUCAGGUGGCCGUAGCUAAUGAAACCCAGCCUGUGGUGCAGCAGCAGUACCAGCAGCCUGUCAUGGUGCCUGUUAGCCAGUCUGUCCAGGGUGCCAUGCCAACCCCUGCACCCAUGCCAGUCUACUACAGUGUCUUGACCCCCACACAACAGAACAGCACAAGUCCAUCUGUGGGCUACCUGCAGCCUCCCAGUUCAGAUCAGUACCAGAUGACCCAGUCUCCGUCCCCCUGCAGCCCUCAGCAGAUACAGCAGCAGUAUUCAGGAGUGCCGCCCCCUGGUCCAGGUGUCAUGGUGAUGCAGCUGAGUGUUCCAAAUGGGCCACAGUCUACUCAGAAUCCUCCUAUGGUGCAGUGGAAUCCCUGCAAGUAUUAUAGCGUGGAGCAGAGACCCAGCAAGCCUGAGCCACAGGUCAGCACUCAGUUAAGUAGUCCUUUGGCAUCUCCUACUCAGUCUCCCACUCCGUCUCCAUCCAGCAGCGGGAACAGUGUGUGCCCUGGACUCGGCCCACUUCCACUCAUUUCUCAGUUUCCUCGGCCUGGAGGACCCGCACAAGGUGACUGCACUGGGGUGGUGAGCCGUGUGUUGGAGGUGACGGAUCUACCCGAGGGCAUCUCUCGUCUAGAUGCCGAGAAGCUCUUCAACCAGCUCUCACUCUGCGGUGCCAAAAUCCAGUGGCUGAAGGACCCCCAGGUGCCCCGGGGGCCCACAACGGCCCCGGGACCCGGGGGAGGAUGCGGAAUGGGCAAAAACGAUGCACAUGACCCAGCCCACCUCUACACAGUGGUGGCCGUGUUCCCAAACACCAUGGCUGCCCAGAGCGCGUCCUUCAAGCUGAACAACAGUGGAGGAAGCCUGUUCAAACUGCGCGCCGCCAAAAAGAACUAUGACCUGCGCGUGCUGGAGCGAGCCAGCUCCCAGUGA
rnacentral:lncRNA from 1 species